CUAAGGAAUACGUCUCCUGCGACGGAGACAUACUGGAAGCACAAGCUUCCAUACACAAACAUCACUCGUUGUCAGUUUUGAGAGAGCAGCGAUGUUCUUUCAAAUGGUUGAUAUUUUCCUGUUGCUUCGCAAGAAGAACGGCAGCGGAAAAAUCAUUGUACCUUGAAAACUGAAUCGCGAAAGUAAAGCUUAGAAUCAUCCUUUAAUUUUAAAUAGGAGUUAAAAAGUUUACUUUUCAGCACCGAGAAGGUGAAGUAGAAGGAAACUUUUUGACCACCUAGCUA
rnacentral:misc_RNA from 1 species